rnacentral:rRNA from 1 species
AGAGUUUGAUCAUGGCUCAGAAUCAACGCUGGCGGCGUGCUAACACAUGCAAGUCGAACGAGAAAGGGAGCAAUCCAUGAGUAAAGUGGCGCACGGGUGAGUAACACUGACUAACCUACCCUGGAGUGGGGGAUAACUGAGGGAAACCUUAGCUAAUACCGCAUAAUACCUACGGGUCAAAGGAGCAAUUCGCUUCAGGAGGGGGUCGCGGCCGAUUAGUUAGUUGGCGGGGUAAUGGCCCACCAAGACAGUGAUCGGUAUCCGGCCUGAGAGGGCGCACGGACACACUGGAACUGAAACACGGUCCAGACUCCUACGGGAGGCAGCAGUGGGGAAUUUUGCGCAAUGGGGGAAACCCUGACGCAGCAACGCCGCGUGGAGGAUGAAGUCCUUCGGGACGUAAACUCCUUUCGAUCGGGACGAUUAUGACGGUACCGGAAGAAGAAGCCCCGGCUAACUUCGUGCCAGCAGCCGCGGUAAUACGAGGGGGGCGAGCGUUGUUCGGAAUUAUUGGGCGUAAAGGGUGCGUAGGCGGUUUUGUAAGUCUUAUGUGAAAUCUAUGGGCUCAACUCAUAGACUGCAUGAGAAACUGCAGGGCUUGAGUAUGGGAGAGGUGAGUGGAAUUCCUGGUGUAGCGGUGAAAUGCGUAGAUAUCAGGAGGAACACCUGUGGCGAAAGCGGCUCACUGGACCAUAACUGACGCUGAUGCACGAAAGCUAGGGGAGCAAACAGGAUUAGAUACCCCAGUAGUCC